rnacentral:rRNA from 1 species
GACGAACGCUGGCGGCGUGCUUAACACAUGCAAGUCGAACGGAAAGGCUCCAGCUUGCUGGAGUACUCGAGUGGCGAACGGGUGAGUAACACGUGGGUAAUCUGCCCUGCACUCUGGGAUAAGCCUGGGAAACUGGGUCUAAUACUGGAUAUGACCUUCCUCCUUAUGGGGUUUGGUGGAAAGUUUUUCGGUGUAGGAUGAGCCCGCGGCCUAUCAGCUUGUUGGUGGGGUGAUGGCCUACCAAGGCGACGACGGGUAGCCGGCCUGAGAGGGUGAUCGGCCACAUUGGGACUGAGAUACGGCCCAGACUCCUACGGGAGGCAGCAGUGGGGAAUAUUGCACAAUGGGCGGAAGCCUGAUGCAGCGACGCCGCGUGAGGGAUGACGGCCUUCGGGUUGUAAACCGCUUUCAGCAGGGACGAAGCGUAAGUGACGGUAAUGGGUGAAGAAGCACCGGCUAACUAUGUG